AGGAGGAGGUGUUGCAGCUGGUAAUUAAUGGAGGCAGGGGAAAUACCCAAGUGUCCCACUUGGGUGCCUUCUGAUACUCCACUGGCCCUCUGUACCUGAGCAGAAAUACAACAGUACCACACCAGACUAAGAAGGGUACGAUGACCAUGAAAUCAAACACCACCACCACUCCAGGAGCGAAGGUUUGGGUCACAUCACCAGAACCCAAUCCAGACCUACUUCAAACGACAUGACGGAUGUGAAGAUGCACUGGGAAGAAACCAUUUCUCCUAAAGUACACUGGUGUGAGAUGUCUCAGCCCAAGGUGCUGCUGAAGAUGCUGUGUGUUGGUCAGCAAUAACAGUUACAGGCACAAACAGGAGAUGAAUGAAGCUCAGAGAAGUUAAAGAACUUGCCUAGUCUGGAGAAGAGCAAGGGUUAGAACCAGUUCCUCUGUUAUCCCGGAGCCUGCGCUUCUAAC